rnacentral:antisense_RNA from 6 species
AAAGCACGACAUUGCUCACAUUGCUUCCAGUAUUACUUUAGCCAGCUUUUAGCUGGCUUUUUUUU